rnacentral:misc_RNA from 1 species
CCAAUCUUUAGUGAGCCUGGACUCGUCCAUGGUCUCGCCAAAUCUUGUAUUUAAAACCUACUCUUAUAAUUAAAAAUCAUGUAUAAUGAUUAUAAAAAUUAAGA